GACGAACGCUGGCGGCGUGCUUAACACAUGCAAGUCGAACGGAAAGGCCCUGCUUUUGUGGGGUGCUCGAGUGGCGAAUGGGUGAGUAACACGUGAGUAACCUGCCCUUGACUUUGGGAUAACUUCAGGAAACUGGGGCUAAUACCGGAUAGGAGCUCCUGCUGCAUGGUGGGGGUUGGAAAGUUUCGGCGGUUGGGGAUGGACUCGCGGCUUAUCAGCUUGUUGGUGGGGUAGUGGCUUACCAAGGCUUUGACGGGUAGCCGGCCUGAGAGGGUGACCGGCCACAUUGGGACUGAGAUACGGCCCAGACUCCUACGGGAGGCAGCAGUGGGGAAUAUUGCACAAUGGGCGGAAGCCUGAUGCAGCAACGCCGCGUGCGGGAUGACGGCCUUCGGGUUGUAAACCGCUUUCGCCUGUGACGAAGCGUGAGUGACGGUAAUGGGUAAAGAAGCACCGGCUAACUACGUGCCAGCAGCCGCGGUGAUACGUAGGGUGCGAGCGUUGUCCGGAUUUAUUGGGCGUAAAGGGCUCGUAGGUGGUUGAUCGCGUCGGAAGUGUAAUCUUGGGGCUUAACCCUGAGCGUGCUUUCGAUACGGGUUGACUUGAGGAAGGUAGGGGAGAAUGGAAUUCCUGGUGGAGCGGUGGAAUGCGCAGAUAUCAGGAGGAACACCAGUGGCGAAGGCGGUUCUCUGGGCCUUUCCUGACGCUGAGGAGCGAAAGCGUGGGGAGCGAACAGGCUUAGAUACCCUGGUAGUCCACGCUGUAAACGGUGGGUACUAGGUGUGGGGUCCAUUCCACGGGUUCCGUGCCGUAGCUAACGCUUUAAGUACCCCGCCUGGGGAGUACGGCCGCAAGGCUAAAACUCAAAGGAAUUGACGGGGCCCCGCACAAGCGGCGGAGCAUGCGGAUUAAUUCGAUGCAACGCGUAGAACCUUACCUGGGUUUGACAUGGAUCGGGAGUGCUCAGAGAUGGGUGUGCCUCUUUUGGGGUCGGUUCACAGGUGGUGCAUGGCUGUCGUCAGCUCGUGUCGUGAGAUGUUGGGUUAAGUCCCGCAACGAGCGCAACCCUUGUUCACUGUUGCCAGCACGUUAUGGUGGGGACUCAGUGGAGACCGCCGGGGUCAACUCGGAGGAAGGUGGGGAUGACGUCAAGUCAUCAUGCCCCUUAUGUCCAGGGCUUCACGCAUGCUACAAUGGCUGGUACAGAGAGUGGCGAGCCUGUGAGGGUGAGCGAAUCUCGGAAAGCCGGUCUCAGUUCGGAUUGGGGUCUGCAACUCGACCUCAUGAAGUCGGAGUCGCUAGUAAUCGCAGAUCAGCAACGCUGCGGUGAAUACGUUCCCGGGGCU
rnacentral:rRNA from 1 species